UACGUAGGGUGCAAGCGUUGUCCGGAUUUAUUGGGCGUAAAGAGCUCGUAGGCGGCCUGUUGCGUCCGCUGUGAAAUCCCGGGGCUCAACCCCGGGCCUGCAGUGGAUACGGGCUGGCUGGAGGCAGGCAGGGAAGAACGGAAUUCCUGGUGUAGCGGUGAAAUGCGCAGAUAUCAGGAGGAACACCGGUGGCGAAGGCGGUUCUCUGGGCCUGUUCUGACGCUGAGGAGCGAAAGCGUGGGGAGCGAACAGG
rnacentral:rRNA from 1 species